GACGAACGCUGGCGGCGUGCUUAACACAUGCAAGUCGAACGAAGUGGCGAACGGGUGAAUGACGCGGAAACAACCGGCCCUUCAGCGGGGGACAACAGUGUAAAACGACUGCUAAUACCGCAUACUGAAGGAGGGGCUUGCGUCGGAUUAGCAGGUGGGAGGGGUAACGGCCCACCAAGGCGAUGAUCAGUAGGCGGUCUGGUGAGAUGUACGGGCACAUCGGGACUGGGGACCGGGCCAGACUGCCUAGGGAGGUAGCAGUGGGGGAAUCUCCGGAAUGGGAGAAAAUCUGGCGGGGCAAAGCCGCGGUAGGGAUGACGGCUUUCGGGUUGUAAAGAUCUGUUAAUCGGGACGCGGUACCGGAAUAGAAAGCCACGGCUAACUACGUGCCAGCAGCCGCGGUAAUAC
rnacentral:rRNA from 1 species